GAUUGCUUUUGUGGGGAGCUUAUGACAAGCCUUUAAUAUUGAAGUUCAAUAAAGCGGCAGACAUUUCAAAAACAAGAGCAACGGUCCUACCUUAAACGAAGGUCUCGCCCACGGGCCUCCUCGUGGUGCUUCUGCAAGUAAACGCCUCGUGCUGCCGGCCUGCUACACCUGCCGGGGAGGAGCCACCUCCCCACCCCCCAUGGAGCUUCCACAGAACGCAGCUGUUAACACCUAAUAAUUACCGUUUUGUGACUCCGGUACUGGGAGCGGCAGUGGCUGAUGCUGCUUUUGAGACCGCUCGUCAGUUAGGAAUCGCUGACCCCCCGCAGACAACGCAUUUAUUUAGAGGUGUUUCCAUCAGCCUUUGCUCCUGCUGCUCUGUGAACCAGCUAGGGAUGAAUAUGCCCUGAAGGUCCAAAGGGGGCUUAACUCUCUGGCUCAAGUGGAACUACAAGAUGUGUGAAUGAAGGAAGUCUAUAAAAAAGAUUUUUAUCGAAUGUGGAUGUGAAAGAUACUGUAUCAGUGGCAAGAUUCCAGGAGUCUCUGAAAGGACUCCCCCUUCCGUGAGAGAGACGUGCACAGUGUAUGAAGUGGAACACUGUGCUAUUCAUUACAGCAUUGUGACUUUCCACCAGUACUUCAAAGCCAGACAUGAGAAGAGGCAUGUAAAGAGCAAAAAUUAAUGAAGCACAGCACACUGCAGAUUUCACAGCUGAAGCUGUAGAUUGUACUCCUCAGUGUCCUCUGCUGGACACCUUAGUAAUCACUUUGAAGAGGAAGAAACCAGCUAGGCUGCAUGGCUUUGCUUUCCAAGAUUACAAAGGAGGUCCUUCCCAGCUUUGAAGUGAUUCCUUUGCUGAAGUCAUUAGCAGGGAAGAUGGACAGCAAAAACACUUCAGGAUUGUUAUUGGAACAUUCCUCUACCAUUGAAAUGAGCCAGCUCACUCGCAUGGAUGGACUGGUGGAAUCCUGAAAAGCAGGCAAGUUGAAUAUAUAUAUUUGAGAGAAACAUUAAGAACUUGCAGGUGUUGUUCAGAAAUUUUG